AACGCUGGCGGCGUGCCUUAGGCAUGCAAGUCGAACGGGAAUAGUAAUAUUCAAGUGGCAGACGGGUGAGUAACGCGUAGGAAUCUACCUCUGGGUAGGGCAUAGCCGGCCGAAAGGUCGGGUAAUUCCCUAUAGUCCCGCAAGGGUAAAGGACUUAACGGUCCGCCGAGAGAGGAGCCUGCGUCCCAUCAGCUAGUUGGUAAGGUAAAAGCUUACCAAGGCGAUGACGGGUAGCUGGACUGAGAGGUCGAUCAGCCACAAUUGCACUUAGACACGGGCAAUACACCUACGGGUGGCAGCAACCAGGAAUAUUGCGCAAUGGACGAAAGUCUGACGCAGCGACGCCGCGUGGGGGAUGAAGGUCUUCGGAUUGUAAACCCCUUUCGGGAGGGAAGAUGGAACGAGCAAUCGUUCGGACGGUACCUCCAGAAGCAGCCACGGCUAACUUCGUGCCAGCAGCCGCGGUAAUACGAAGGUGGCAAGCGUUAUUCGGAUUUACUGGGCGUACAGGGAGCGUAGGCGGUUCGGUAAGCCCUCUGUGAAAUCUCCAGGCUUAACCUGGAACAGUCGGAGGGGACUGCUGGGCUAGAGGACGGGAGAGGAGCGCGGAAUUCCCGGUGUAGCGGUGAAAUGCGUAGAGAUCGGGAGGAAGGCCGGUGGCGAAGGCGGCGCUCUGGAACGUUUCUGACGCUGAGGCUCGAAAGCGUG
rnacentral:rRNA from 1 species